GGGGGUUAGUAUGAACUAACGAGGAUGCUCUAGUAACGGCGAGUGAACGGGAACCGAGUCCAGCGCCGAAGCUCGAACGUCGAAAGUCGAAAGAGACGUUCCGAGCGGUGUGGCGUUAGGGAAGAGGCGUACGUUCCGGUGCCGCCAUCGUUCGAGUCCCCCUGAUUGGGGCCAACGUCCGGAGAGGAUGAAAGACCCGUACGACGAUGGCGGUGCGCGCCGUUCGCGGCGACUUGACCGGAACCGUCCUAUUCCCCGAGAGUCGGGUUGCUUGAGAGUGCAGCCCUAAGCGGGAGGUAAACUCCUUCCAAGACUGUAAAAAUACUGCCACGAGUCCGAUAGCUAACAAGUACCGUGAGGGAAAGUUGCAAAGAACUUUGAAGAGAGAGUUCAAGAGAACGUGAAACCGCCCGGAGAGAAACGGGUAGAACCUCGAAGUGACGCAACUGAAGGCGAGAGCGGAAUUCAGCUUCGUUCGGACUCGUCCGCGAACGGGCCGSCCAUAGCCGGCGGUCGACGGGCGGCAACGCUCGUCACCGUCGGGGCUCUUACUUAAGGCUCGUUCGUUAGUUGGCGGACGGUCCCGGAGCGCAUUUUCCGAAUAAUAGUCUCGUCCUUGCGAGCACGCCGCAACCGGUCCCGAGACGACAAUGAGGCUCUCGCGACGAAAGGUGGCCGCGCGUCGGUUACCGUCCGUACUUCGGUGCGGACGGUCUCGGUCCUUCGGGACGAUCGGCCGCGGCGUUAUAGCCGUCGCGAGCACCGUUUAGUCGGUCGCCUCUCGGAACCGUGGAAUGCUGUAGUCGCGCGAGCGCUUCGGCGCGUCGGACGGCCCCGUCGUCGGCGCUGGUCGCGCGGCGUUCGGUAGUUCGCCUCGUGCGGAAACCGGCGUCGUCGAUCGGCCCGCGGCGGGGCUAAAAUCUAGUUUCCGACACAUUAGAAUGAUCGCGCCCGCGGUUAGCGGCGAGUAGAUCGGUUCUCUACCCGACCCGUCUUGAAACACGGACCAAGGAGUCUAACGUACGCGCGAGUCUUCGAGUGUAUCGAAACUCGCUUUGUCGUUGAAGAGGCGUAAUGAAAGUAAAUUAUCAAGACGCUCCUCGGAGCGUCGGACGCGAUCGAGUCGCCGUCGCCGGUCCACGGGCCGGCGGCUUCUAAGUGGCGACUCGCGCAGCGUCGGCCCGUCCGUAACGCAAAUCCUUCGGGAUUCUGAGACGAUAGGACGGAGCUGGAGCGCGUGCGUUGGGACCCGAAAGAUGGUGAACUAUGCUUGGACAGGACGAAGCCGGAGGAAACUCUGGUGGAGGUCCGAAGCGAUUCUGACGUGCAAAUCGAUCGUCAGAUCCGAGUAUAGGGGCGAAAGACUAAUCGAACCAUCUAGUAGCUGGUUCCUUCCGAAGUUUCCCUCAGGAUAGCUGGCGUUCGAUCGCAGUUUCAUCCGGUAAAGCGAAUGAUUAGAGGCUUACUGGGGCCGAAACGGCCUCGACCUAUUCUCAAACUUUAAAUGGGUGAGAAGUCUGGCUUUCUCGAAUCUAAAUGAAGCUCGGACUAUGAUAAUAACUAGAAUGCGAACGGCCAAGUGGGCCAUUUUUGGUAAGCAGAACUGGCGAUGCGGGAUGAACCGAAAGGCGGGUUACGGUGCCCGACGCGACGCUUAUGAGACCCCAUGAAAGGCGUUAGUUGCUACAGACAGCAGGACGGUGGCCAUGGAAGUCGGAAUCCGCUAGGGGAGUGUGUAU
rnacentral:rRNA from 1 species